rnacentral:rRNA from 1 species
GAUGAACGCUGGCGGCGUGCCUAAUACAUGCAAGUCGAGCGAACAGAUAAGGAGCUUGCUCCUUUGAAGUUAGCGGCGGACGGGUGAGUAACACGUGGGUAACCUACCUAUAAGACUGGGAUAACUUCGGGAAACCGGAGCUAAUACCGGAUAACAUUUAGAACCGCAUGGUUCUAACGUGAAAGAUGGUUUUGCUAUCACUUAUAGAUGGACCCGCGCCGUAUUAGCUAGUUGGUAAGGUAACGGCUUACCAAGGCGACGAUACGUAGCCGACCUGAGAGGGUGAUCGGCCACACUGGAACUGAGACACGGUCCAGACUCCUACGGGAGGCAGCAGUAGGGAAUCUUCCGCAAUGGGCGAAAGUCUGACGGAGCAACGCCGCGUGAGUGAUGAAGGGUUUCGGCUCGUAAAACUCUGUUAUUAGGGAAGAACAAAUGUGUAAGUAACUGUGCACAUCUUGACGGUACCUAAUCAGAAAGCCACGGCUAACUACGUGCCAGCCGCCGCCGUAA